GUAAGCUGCGAAAAGCUUCGGUGAGGCGCAAGCGGCCUUUGACCCGGAGAUACCCGAAUGGGGUAACCCGUCCUGGAGUAGCCAGGACACCCGCAUAAAGCGGGGGGCACCCGGGGAAGUGAAACAUCUCAGUACCCGGAGGAAGAGAAAUCGCAAGAGAUUCCCUGAGUAGUGGUGAGCGAAAGGGGAAGAGCCCAAACCUGACGGACGUGAUAGGCUGCGGCCGUUGUCUGUUGGGGGU
rnacentral:rRNA from 1 species